GUGGUAUUUUUUAUAUUUUCAUAAAUAAUAUUCUUUACACCAGAAAUGUUAUUUAUAAACAAGCGUACGAGUUAAGUUAUUGGCAUCAUAUCACUUUCGGACACACAAGACAGAGAUGUGUAUUAUACACCUGAUAGUUCAAAAUGGAAAGUUAUUAGUCUGCCGUGUACACUGAUCAAUACCUACAGAAGUGAAACGAUGCAUAAACUUGCAAGCCCGACAGGAAAUCGCUUGAAUACCUGGACGUGUCACCUGAGUCCUCACACCCCUCACAAUACCUUUGGGAGUAAUACCUUUAGCUAUGCUGGUGAUCAGAUGAGGAAAGAUCCGAAUUUAUUUGAAUAAAGUUUAUUACUUUAAAGAAUUAUGAAAACAAUUUUCACGGAACACUUAUUUAUUAUUUGAACUUUGACUUUUUAACUCAUUCCAAUAUUAACAGUUUAAAAAUAACAGAUAUAUAAUAAUGGUCAUUUUCCCUCAGCAUUUUCCGUAUCAAGUUUAUAGUUAGUCAGAUAAAACAAUCGUACGAUUGACAAGAUAUCGACACGCAAUUACGACUACAUCGGUUACUGUAGUUUUGGUUCUUUGUGUUUUAUACACAUAUCGUGAUUAUAAUCGUAGAAGAUGACAAAAUGGCGGAGCGUAGAAAAUUGAUACUCAAAAUUUAAAAUCGAUGUUGAUCUCUUAUCUAGCGGAA
rnacentral:lncRNA from 1 species